GCUUUUGUUGUGUUUGGCUUUUGAUGAGUGUUACGAUUUUGGCGAGUUGUCUGUGGUUUUUGGGCUGUUUUCGUGAAGUGGAGGUCAUGUAAUAUGAUGGAUUUUUGUUGAGAAGAUGAAUUGGACUAGCAUGUUUCUUAUUUCCAUCUGUGUUUGUUUGCUCAGGGAUGAAUUAAAGCCGAGUAAGUUGUUGCUGCUCCAGGAGGUUAGGAUAUGGUCAGAGUUCUCAAGUUCAGGACAGCCAUGUCGACAAAAUGGGUCAGUGUGCAUAUCCAACUUGUUGAUGAAGGCAUUUAGCCUAUUGUGUCCUGAUCUGAGACGGUGUAAAGUGGUGUUGAUAAGUCUGUUCUGGUGGUGAAACCAGUCCACGACGCCAAGGCUUGUUUUGGAGGUUACGCUUGGUUUGCCACAGAGUUUUAGAUAAUUGAGAGUUGAUAUUGACCAUUUCUUUUUAUACAGGGAAAUGACCUCAUUGGGAGUGAGAAUAUUCUCGAUGGAAUUGAAGAGGGGUAUUUCGUCCAUAUUACUGGCCAGUUUGUCAGCCACUUCGUUUCCAGUGAUCCCGAUAUGGCUUGGGAUCCAAGUGAGGGGACAAACCCUUCAAGUGUCCGGAGUGUAAUUUGUUCUUCCGGACAAGCGGUCACCGACAAUCUCACCUCAAGAGUCACCGCAAAGCUGCCCAGACAAUCGGUAAACCCGGUGCGAUCCGUACAGUGUCUUCUGCCGCCAACAAGAGGAAAUUAAAAGCUAAGUCGAACAAACAGCGAGUGUCGAACGGAGAUAUAGAUUCUGAAGCUCAUCUGGCGAAAGUCAUCGCCGAUAUCUGGUGACCUGUCGAAUC